GUAGGCACCAAGCAGCGAAGACGAAAAUUUUAGCGCUGGAACUACGUUCAUCCCUUUCUAGUGGAUUGGAAAAUAAAUUUUGCUUUGAAAUGCGUACAGCUUUUAUGUAGAAGGUUCAUCUGUGCAGUGUUCGACAUAUCGCCAGCGACAAUCAUUGAAUCUUUCCGGGUCACGUAACCUAUCACGUCAAACAUAGAGGCAAAAUAGAUAACAAGAUUCCACUCGAUUUUCGCCGAACAUUCCUACACCAAAGUUUUGAUAUAUGAUAUACAUUUAUCAGUAUCAAUGUGUAAAGUAAUAUGAUUAAGUCACAUUACAGAACACCAAGAAUAACUUUGAGCAUUAUAAAAGAA